rnacentral:snRNA from 1 species
UAGUGUUACAGCUCUUUAGAAUUUGUCUAGCAGGUUUUCCAGUAUUCACUGGAAAGCUCCU